AUUAAAGUUGUUGCAGUUAAAAAGCUCGUAGUUGGAUCUCUGGUACAACGCGCCUGGCCCGCUUUUAGUGAGUGCCGGUGCGCGUUUGCCAUCCUUCUAGAAAACGUUUCUACCUGGGCAACCGGGCCGGACUCGCGAUCUAGAUCUUUUACUUUGAAAAAAUUAGAGUGUUUAAAGCAGGCUUUUGCUGNGAAUACAUUAAGCAUGGAAUAAUAAUCUAGGACUUCGGUUCUAUUUUGUUGGUUUCUAGUACUGAAGUAAUGAUUGAUAGGGAUAGUUGGGGGUGCUAGUAUUGGCCGGCCUGAGGUGAAAUUCUUGGAUUCGGUCAAGACUAACUUAUGCGAAAGCAUUCACCAUGGAUGUCUUCUUUAAUCAAGAACGAAAGUUGGGGGAUCGAAGACGAUCAGAUACCGUCGUAGUCUCAACCAUAAACUAUGCCAACUAGGGAUGGGUGAACGUUGUUUUUUUGACUUCAUCUGCACCUUAUGAGAAAUCAAAGUCUUUGGGUUCCGGGGGGAGUAUGGUCGCAAGGCUGAAACUUAAAGG
rnacentral:rRNA from 1 species